GAAAUGGUUUAGUUACAAAGGCACCAACCACCACAUUUUGGGUUCUCUCUCGUUCUUCCACGGGAACACAGGAAAAGGUCCAGAAGCAACCUUCCCUUGGCUGCCAUUAUGGCUUCCUUCUCCGAAAGCGAUCACCAACAGAUUCUGGUGGAGCGUAAAUCACAUGCGAGAAUUCUGACCCUAAACAGGCCUAAGCAGUUGAAUGCCCUCUCUUUUUAUAUGGUUUCACGUCUGCUUGAAGUUUUUACUGAGGAUGAGGAAAAUUCUGAUAUUAAAUUGGUUGUCGUGAAGGUAAUCUCCUUUUAGUGAGCAAAUUCAGUAGACUUUUAUUUUAUUCUAUGGAAAGGGAACAAAACAACCUGCUAUUGGAAUUGGACUGAAAGGGUUGGCUGAAGAAUAUCAUUCUCUAAAAAAGUUAAUCUGUCCUUUGGUCCUCAAAUAUUGUUUAGCGCCUAAAAAUAAUUUA